rnacentral:rRNA from 1 species
AAUGAACGUCGGCGGCGUGGAUUAGGCAUGCAAGUCGUGCGAGAAGUGUUUUUUGCUUGCAUUGAACACGGACAGCGGCGAAAGGGAGAGUAACGUGUGGUUACAUGCCCAGGGGUCCAGGAUAGUGUCGGGAAACUGGCAGUAAUACUGGAUGAUAUCUAAGGAUCAAAGGUGUGAUUCCGCCCUUGGAUUGGACCGCAUACUAUUAGCUUGUUGGUGAGGUAAUGGCUCACCAAGGCUGCGAUGGUUACCGGGUGUGAGAGCAUGGCCCGGCUCACUGGGACUGAGACACUGCCCAGACACCUACGGGUGGCUGCAGUCGAGAAUCUUCGGCAAUGGACGAAAGUCUGACCGAGCGACGCCGCGUGCGGGAUGAAGGCCCUCGGGUUGUAAGCCGCUGUCAGUUUGGAGGAAAGGUCUGUGAAGAGCAGACUUUGACCGAUAUUCAGAGGAAGGACGGGCUAAGUUCGUGCCAGCAGCCGCGGUAAGACGAACCGUCCAAACGUUACUCGGUAUCACUGGGCUUAAAGCGUGCGUAGGCGGCUUGGUAAGUGUGAUGUGAAAGCCCACGGCUCAACCGUGGAAUUGCGUCGCAAACCCCCAAGC